rnacentral:rRNA from 1 species
UUUAAAUGGCCGCAGUACCUUGACUGUGCUAAGGUAGCAUAAUCAAUUGGCUUCUAAUUAAAGUCUGGAAUGAAAGGAAAAAUGAGGUAGUUCUGUCUUAAGGAAUUUUUUUUUAAUUUAUUUAAAUGAUGAAAAUAUCAUUUUUUAGAAAAAAGACGAGAAGACCCUUAGAGUUUUCAAUUUUUUUUUGUUGGGGCGACAAGUAAACAAUUAAACUUUACUAGUGUAAUAAAUCGAUUUUUUAUAAGAAUAAUUAAACUACCUUAGGGAUAACAGCAUUAUAUAUUUUAUAUGAUUGUGACCUC